CAAUUCUUGUUUGUCUGAUUGACGUGUCCUGGUCUUACAUUUGAAAAUGCAGACAUAAAUCAUCACCUGCAGCCCACUGUGGGGGGCUUAAAUGACAACAAAUCAUUUAGCGAACUGAAACUCAGAUGAGAGCAUUAGGAUUUGACAUUGAAGGUAAAAUGAUCAAUCAUUUGUCUGCCAAUGUGACGCAAUAUAGUGAUAGCAGAAAUAUAUCAGCUCUGAGCCACUUUAUCUGUCAUCCACAGCAGUAUGUCACACAUUGAGCAGUCUGUCAGAUACAGUGACCUUUCAUGUUCCUUCAAUAUAUAUAUAUAUAUAUAUAUAUAUUUGAACAACUGUGUAAUAAUUGGGGAUGCAUGAGAUCGGAUGUUUGCAGAUAUCUGAUACACCAGAAUUGUCAAACUAUAUCGGCAGAUGAUAACACCAAUACAGCUACACACCUUUAUUUAUCCUACGGUCUACAAAUGUUACUUGCACUAGAAUUUUACCUGUUAGCUUUUACUGUAACAGUCUGUUUGUCUGAGAAACAGACACAAAACAAGACAGCUCUUUUCCCUGAAGUUUGUCACUGCUGUAUUUUUUUGUUUGUUUUGUUUUGUUGAAUGAUUGACAUGAAGUUUUUCACAGUCUUUUUUGCUUAAGAAACUCUUUGUGGUUCUGGAUGACAGUUCUUGAGAUGCACAAUUAAAGA